AUAGUCCGGGUAGCUAUUUGGUUAACUACUGUAUUUAACUAACAAGUGGGGGUGGGUUGUCAGAACUGGAGCAAAGGAGAUAUAAACAUUUUGCAAAACAAACUCCUGGGGGUCUGCCUAGUUUUGGGGAGGGACAAAAUGCGAGGGAACAGGAGGACUGAACAGAAAAGAGUCCAACACAUGGAGAGGGCAUUUGGAAUAGUUGAAUGAAUGACAUAUGGGCAAGUUUGAAAGUUGAGAGACGUAUUGAGCAAUGCGUGUUUUGUAAGUUAUUCUUUUAAAAUAUUGAUUUAGUUGGUUUUAGGGUAACGUAUCAUGAUGUAACGUGGCUAGCCAGCUACAGUAGUUGAAGACUUUGAACGGAGAACACGAUACAGUGGGACAGUGAGCGCUUUAGCUCGCAACACCUCAGUGAACUGAAGCAAGAACACUUCUCUUUCAGUUUAUCUUUACUCUUCUUUACGCUGUCGUCGAACUUGUCUUACAUUUCACAGAUAAGCUUGUUGCUAACGGUUUGAUACCUGUCAAGUUUAACUUUUGUGGUCAUUGGACAUGGUUUUCAAUAACAGUUAGCUAGCUAAAGUUAGUCAGCCAUCAUUAAUUUGUAUUUUUCAACGUUGGACGGACUGAAUGUUCACCUUUGGGAUACUUAACGUUACUGUCAGUAAACAGCAACAAGACAACAUCAACGUUGUAUUUUAAACAAGAGACAAUAUGCAAAAGUUCAACUCGACACACACGAGUACUCUUCCUCGGGACGAUGAGCUUCAGCAGCGUUUAGCCGACAACGGGGGGAGCCGGGGAGGCGAUGAAGGAAAACGGCGCUGGGAAGAAACACAUCCUUGCAGAACCUGCAGACAGUUCACUCUGUACCAAGAGAAAGAUGCUGGUCGGCUUGGAUGUUUUCUGUCUGUUUGUAGCCUCCAUCCCAUUCUUUGCGUGUGAGUUGAAGGCGGUGACUCCGUACCAGAGGGGUUUCUUCUGUGGGGACCAGAGCAUCACCUACCCCUACCUGGAGAGAGAGGCCAUCCCUGACGCACUGCUCAUCGCUGGGGGCAUCGUCAUCACUGGCCUCACGAUUGCGCUGGGCGAGUGUUACCGGGUUCGAUUCCGUGAGGUGCAAUCUCGCGCCUUCGUGCGCAACCACUACGUGUCCUGCCUCUAUAAGGAGCUGGGCAGCUUCCUGUUCGGCUGCUGCGUGGGCCAAUCAUUGACCAACAUGGCCAAGCUGAGCGUGGGGCGCCUGCGACCUAACUUCCUGUCGGUGUGCAACGUGACAUACGCCUCGCUCAACUGCGUCCCCGGCUCCUACGUGGCCCAGGUCACCUGCAGGCAGCCCAAACACAAGAUGGUGGAGGAGGCCAGGAAGUCCUUUUUCUCUGGCCAUUCCUCUUUUGCCAUGUACACCAUGCUCUACCUGGCGUUCUACCUGCAGGCGCGGUUGUCAUGGCGAGGGGCUCGUCUGCUGCGCCCGCUGCUGCAGUUCCUGCUGGUGAUGAUAGCCGUGUACACCGGGCUGAGCCGCAUCUCCGACUACCGCCACCACCCCACCGACGUGAUCACCGGCUUCAUCCAGGGAGGCCUCACCGCCUACUGGGUGGCCUUCUAUAUUUCCUCCAUGUUUAAGAACAACCGUCCAGACCUGUCUCCCACCAGCAUGUCUCUGGAGAGUCCCCUGUCCAGCCAACAGACCGUCUGCUAGCACCACCUGCCCCAACACACCCCUCCUCACCUACCUGGACAGAUGGGGGAUGGGAGAAAAGACAGAAAGAGAGAGGGAGAGAGAGACAGUCAGAUAGCAGAGGUGAGCAGCACAUGGAGGGACAGGGAGGGAGAGAAGGUGUGUGAAAGGGAAGGGGGAUGAGAUAAGAGGUAGAGCAGGUAAAGAGCGUUCUAGCAAGUACACACAUGCUCUGAUGAAUACGUCAAGACACGCACGCACACGCAGUGCCACCUCUCUCUCUCUCUCACUAACACCCACUACCAUUUAACACACACACACACAAACACACACACCAAAUCACUGUAGAGUACAACCCGUCCACAUGGAGAUAUGCAUAGUAAUUUUACAGAUAUUUUUGUAUAUGAAAAACGACAAAUGUUUCUAUUUUUCAAAUGAGAGUCGUAGAUGAAGCUGCUAAUGAUAAUGAUUUUUUCCUGUUCUAAGUAGAAUAUGUUUUAUAUGUGAUGGUGGUUAGUGGGCAGUGCAUUAGGUUAGCUCUCACAAACACACGGUCAGUCAGUGUCUCUAAAUUAUCUUCAUUGGUCGUCACUUCGUUGGUCAUCCUCUGACCAGCCUGGAUGAUGACAUCAUCAGCUGGACUCCACUUCUUCAGCUUGACGUCCCCUGACUAUAAUUCUGUGGAUGUCUCGUUGACGUCCCCUGACUAUAAUUCUGUGGAUGUCUCAUUGACGUCCCCUGACUAUAAUUCUGUGGAUGUCUCAUUGACGUCCCCUGACUAUAAUUCUGUGGAUGUCUCAUUGACGUCCCCUGACUAUAAUUCUGUGGAUGUCUCAUUGACGUCCCCUGACUAUAAUUCUGUGGAUGUCUCAUUGACGUCCCCUGACUAUAAUUCUGUGGAUGUCUCAUUGACGUCCCCUGACUAUAAUUCUGUGGAUGUCUCAUUGACGUCCCCGGACUAUAAUUCUGUGGAUGUCUCAUUGACGUCCCCUGACUAUAAUUCUGUGGAUGUCUCAUUGACGUCCCCUGACUAUAAUUCUGUGGAUGUCUCAUUGACGUCCCCUGACUAUAAUUCUGUGGAUGUCUCAUUGACGUCCCCUGACUAUAAUUCUGUGGAUGUCUCAUUGACGUCCCCUGACUAUAAUUCUGUGGAUGUCUCAUUGACGUCCCCUGACUAUAAUUCUGUGGAUGUCUCAUUGACGUCCCCUGACUAUAAUUCUGUGGAUGUCUCAUUGACGUCCCCUGACUAUAAUUCUGUGGAUGUCUCAUUGACGUCCCCUGACUAUAAUUCUGUGGAUGUCUCAUUGACGUCCCCUGACUAUAAUUCUGUGGAUGUCUCGUUGACGUCCCCUGACUAUAAUUCUGUGGCUGUCUCAUUGACGUCCCCUGACUAUAAUUCUGUGGAUGUCUCGUUGACGUCCCCUGACUAUAAUUCUGUGGAUGUCUCAUUGACGUCCCCUGACUAUAAUUCUGUGGAUGUCUCGUUGACGUCCCCUGACUAUAAUUCUGUUGAUGUCUCAUUGUGUGAAAGGAGACAGUCAGAACUGAACUGUUAUUUCAGACCUCUACAUGGAACAACAGCGCUGCAUGGAGUGACAAAACCUGGCAACCAAUAAGGAACAAGCACUGGCCUCGUGUGCCCUCUUUACCAGUACCCUCUCCAUCCUUCACCCUCUAACUACACAGCAACUAGUAGAGGAUGUCAUGGACAAAGACAAAAGAGAACACUUUGUAUUAAACCAAGUAUCUUAUCUUAACUUAAGUUACCCAGGAGUGAUAGGGUGGAAUUCUGCUUUGCCCAGGUUACGUCCCCUCCCCUUCACUCCCACGCUUUUCCAUGUCUGUACUCUCUACUAACCACUUAUUACUGUGUCUCAGAGGCGGAGCUAUGACUGAACCCUGUAACCUUUGACCUAUUACCCUGACCUCUGAGCUGCACCUUGAGUUAUGCCACUCUCACAGGGGAGCCAAAAUGACUGCCUCGUGUUGCCUAUGGCAGAGGUCCCCUGUAUAUUCCUAUUAAUAGCACUUGAACUACAUAAUGGAACCUACUCUGAUAGUAUAAUUGAUAUUAUAUAUAUUUUAUCUCAAGUUUGAAUAAUCAGUGUUUUAUUUCUCUUAAUAUGUCACUCUCAUACGGUAUAUGUUUUAGUUUUUUUCCAAAUGAUAAUUAUUCAAAUUGAAUGUAAAUAGAUAUGUCCUUUUAUAAACCACACAGAAUUUCAAAAGUAUUAUUAGUGCCAUUUUUGGACAGUUUUUUUUCACGUUUAUGUGUUAUGUGUCUGUGUUGUUGAUCAGGUACACAGAGUUGUUGUUAUUGUCAUAACGACUAGACUGAGCCAGAGCUAUUAUCAGAAAGCUAUUUCUUGUUUCCAGUUUUGUGUUUUUUGUAUUCUCUGUGAAUGCCAGAAUGGCUGAAAAUAACCACUGUACUCAAAAAACCAAACCAAUAAAAUGAAUGUUGAAUCUUU